ensembl:lncRNA
AUGCAAGCAUCCAAUACACAGUACGGACCUUUUGCACAUUUUAUACACUGGUUCUUCUCUUCCCCGGAGCAGGACUCGCAUGACGGGUGGCAGUUCUCACACUCUCCAUCAUCUGAAGCGGAAACAAAAGUACUUAGGUUGGCACGAGGUUUCAGGGACGGUGGCACACAGACCAAUUACCCUCCAAGAUGUAUUUUCCAUCCCUGUGAAGCUCCGCACACACUCCGUCGGAGAGGUACGAGGAGGCGUCGCACCGGAGGCAGCGAGCGGCGCCCGUGCAGAGCCGGCAGCGGGGCGAGCAGGACUCGCAGCUCCUUCCCUCGGCGUGGUAGAAGGCCUCCGGGCAGGCGUCCACGCACAGGCCUUCGUACAAGUAGCGCCGCACGCCGAACUUAUCUGGGAGGGCCGAGAGUGAAGAUGUGUGACGCCGAACUUUCCGCUUGGUUCACGCUCACGCGGCCCAUACACACAGAUGUGCUGGUUCAGUCCUCACCGGUGUCACAGCUGGUGCAGUUGGCCGGCCUUGCGUCCACGCAGGUGGCACAGGUGUGGUCACACAGGUGGCACUGGCCACCUGACUGGUACUUUCCCUUUGCACACUCCGCCACACAGAGGCCAACAUCUAGAGCCCUGCUCGGACAACAGCCACCAGACCACUUUUAUUUCAGCAGCAACACGUACACAGUGAAUUACAACAACAAUGACACAUUUUAUGACUUAUUACUAUCAAAAUGUUUUCCAUUAUCCAAUGAAUUGUUUAUUCCAUGAAAGGUGAAAACUGUAAUUCUCAAUUUUGCAUCUUCGAAUAUCUUGUUUGUUUGAGCAAAAGUCACAAACUUGAAGAUAUUCAGUUUACAGUAAUUAGAAAAUAUAGGUCAGCUCUUAAGAAGCUAAUAAAGCCAAUUUGACAUUUGUCUCUUAAUCAUUUUGCUUGAAAGAUUUACUAAAAUGACUCAUCAAUUAUCACAAUAGUAAUCAAUUUAUUGGUCAAUUAAGUCACCGAUUGUUUUAGCUGUGCUUCAUUCUAAGGCUCUGGCAUAUUAUUUAUUUAGAAAAAAAAUAUUUAGCAUCUCCACGGUUACAAGAAUGCCAACACGUCCCUGACAUGUUAUGUGGUGACUCUACAUCGGGGUAAAGCAACGACCAUUAACACUCAGAGAAGCAGCGGGAGGAAUUCAUUCCCACUUUGACCUUUUAUCGAAAGAGUCAAGACCAACUCACCGUGAAGGAGCACAGCUGAUGCAGUCUUCUCUCCGCGGCCCUGUGCACUUCAGACACGUUGCAUCACACGCGCGGCACUUUCUGUCAGCGUCCUGGUACUCUCCUGGGAGACGCACAGCGAGAGAACGGCGCUGACGUAGGAAUGCAUAAUCACCCGAGGCUCAAGCAGCAUAUACAGAACACACUAAACAUUUAUACAAAUUCAUUACUGACUUGUGGUUCAUUCAGAAUGAAACGUAUGAUAACAUGUGUCUUGUUUUAUACAUAUAUAUAUAUAUAUAUAUAUAUAUAUAUAUAUAUAUAUAUAUAUAUAUAUAUAUAGAUAGGGAUCAAAUAUCCAUAAAUCAGCCUAAAAAAAGAAAUAAUUGCAGGUAAAAAAGUGAGAACUAGAUGUGCUACGGUUCCUUUAGCUUCAUGGCAGCAGUGAGCCAACACGUGGUGGAGGAAGUGGACGGUUGACUGACCGUCUUUGCACACCGUGUUAACAACACACGCUCCCUCCUGCAGGCCGUGACCGCUGGAACAGCUGCUGCAGUUCCCCCGGCUCGGCCCGACACAGGUGAGACAGCUGGCGUCACACCUGAGGAGGAAAGCCCCGAGACUGAACACGUGUGCACGCAAACACACACACACGCCAACCACAAAAACCACAAACACACAGGGAAACAAAACUACGCCCAUACAGGCGCACGACUAACAGCAUGACAACAUCACCACACACACGCACACGCGCGCGCACACGUCCUGCCAUCAGCAGAUAAACAAACCACCCACACCUGCACACACGCCAGUGAGCUCACCUCCUACAUGUCCUUUGCCCAUCAGCUAUCUCCGGGUUUGGCUCCUCGGCGUAGAAGCCGGCACUGCAGGAGGACAAACACUUCCACUCCUCCAUCAAGAAGCCUCCCGCGCACCCGUCGCAUGCCGCAACACCUGCACCUGAUGUCGCCCGACGCAAGGGACAGUGGGUUUUCAAAAAUGCGCGGAGGCGUACUCCCCCCGUCGCGUGUUUUGAUGACAUCUCACUAGGAUUUCGUGCUAUUCAUGACCUUUGACCCGAGCGCUCACCUGCACAGCUGGCGCAGGCCUUGUGACAAGGCUGGCAUGUGCCGUCCUGCUCGUCGUGGUAGAAUCCCGGCGUGCAGCUCCGCUGGCAGCGAUUCCCCUGCAGACUGCGGAGGCCGGAGAGAGCAUGUGGCACACGCACACGCACACACAAGCAGUCAUGUGAAACCAUGAAGAUGAAUCAUUGCCUAGACUGUAGACUCAGUUUUCCAACCCACAGCACCACGAGCACUUGAUGAACUGAGUCAUUGAACACAGCGUUCUGGGUUCUUCAUACUGAACAAUAUGGUGAUUUGACGGGGAUAUUUUUGCUUUCUUGUGUCGAUACAAAAAAGGGUAAUCAGAAAAUAUGUUCCCGUGUUGAGCUGUGUGUGAACAGGGAAGCAGGACACUUUCUAUUAUAAUAUGAAAAGGCAAACCUUGUAGCGUUUACUAAUUGUUAUCGUGCUGCAGAGUGUUUGUGUGCACGGGGGAGAAUCAGUAUUCGCUGCAGCUGGAAGAGAAGGAGCAAUGUUUACCGAGCAGUUCAUUCAACAGUCAUCGGAGAGUUUGUCUCACCUUGUGCCUGGUUUGCAUUGCGUGCAGAUGCUGGAGGAGGUGCACCUCAAGCAGCUUUCAUUGCACCUCCUGCACAUAUUUGCAUCUGCGGGGAAAUCAAACAAUACACAUGGAAAACACAUGGCGGCGAUUAAUCAAUCUUACUUACACACCCCUCCACUGCAGUCACAUCAGCUGACUAUUCAUUAGCAGGCCGAUGUGCAGCUGCUUCCGAACGGCUCUUUUUUAAGCCAUGGCUCCUUAAACUGCCACCCGGAGGAUAUUCCUUCUGUUUUAUUGAGUAGAACGACUACCACAAAACGCAAUUCAGGAAAGCAGGUUUAAGGCCAGAAAUCCAACCGUGGUCGAGGUAGAAGUUGUCCCCACAGGCGGCCGUGCAGCUAUUGGUCCCCUCGGUGAGGUGAUGACCCGGCUGACAGGAGGUGCACUGGUCACUGCGACUCCCGACGCAGCUCCCGCAGGAGGAAAAGCACCUCUUACAACGCCGCCGGUCGCCCCAGAAUCCCCUUGGGCACUCUGAUACACACAUCCUGUGACACCGAGCAAAGAAAAUACCAGUCUGGACCCACCAUAAUGUUUCCGACAUGAAGUGACUGCUUAUUAUUUAGAUUUUGUAAUAUGUGAGUCAUCUUUUGUGCAGUAUCACCAAAUUCUGUCCGCUGCAUUCUGGCUUUUACCAACUCUUCUCUACGCUGUUGCCAACCUUGUGCUGUUCUUGAACUUGAGAAAAAAGUGCAAACACGUGACGCAGUGCUGCGGGCUGGGCCCCUCGCAACCAUCGUCACCGCAUUCUGGGUCGCACGGUCCUGGAGGGGCAAAUGGCUGAGUUAUUCUCGUAGAUGCUGACAUGCCGUGUGUGCAUAUUUACAUAAAAACAAAACACCUUCACCAGCAAAACACAGUUUAGCUGCUGUCUGAGCUUGAACGGGGGGGCAGCGUGGUACAUGACUCACCGCCGUACUCUCCGGCCGGGUCGCCGUCCGUCGGCAUCUCGGCCGAUCGGGCCGGUCGCCUGUGGUUCCCGGGAUACGGCCACUCGGCGGUGCCGUAAAACCGCAGGGACCACGCCUUUAACGUCCCUGUGGAACCGCGGAGAAACAGGCGAGAUAAGAGGCUUCGCUCGGGAGGCCCGGCCUGCAUUUUUAGCUGAUGUUCAACUCCAACGUGCACUUGAUGAUACUGCGAUACUACAGCGCGGGAGAGCGGACCCAGUUCGGUGCUGCCUCUGUUCGGAGAGGAAGCUUCCUGGAUUUUCAAGGUCCAUUCCCCCGGCGCCUGCUCCCCCCAGCUGUGAGUCGUCAUGAAUUCCCAGUUCUGAAAUCCCUCGGCGGAGUCGUCAAGAGGCCUAAAUCAAAAGAUUAAACAAGAUAGUGGUAUCACUACUGCUGCUAAUUAUACUACUGCUACAACUACUACUACUACUACAUCUAUUCUAGCAAUAUAAUAUUAAAGUAUUGCUUCAUAUGCUGUGUGUUUGAUGUUGGAGUUUAUGGCUUGUUCAGGUGCUAAAUUGAAGACUUCAUCACCUUUGAGCGGUUAUGUGCCGUGCUUUAAACAAGAACGUUGCUAAUGGAUGACUGUAUGUAUAUGUGUAGACAGCGCGGGCUGAGAAGGCCGGUAAUGUUUUCCACACAUUCGGUCCGUGAUUGAGCGUCGCUCUGGUCACCUGUGGGCGAGCAGCUCCGACACAGUGCCCGAAGGCGACGCGAGAGUAAUGGAGAGGUCGCCGCGGCGACUGUGAGCGAUGGCGACACGGACGACGACAUGCUCCACAUACACAACGCGGCGCAGAGGCUCGCCGGAGCAGCCCGUGGCCUCAAGCGCAGACGUCAGCGGCCAGCCGGGAUGAAUGGUUCUGCCGUGAGACGAGGAGACAGGGGGGGAAUAAAGACACACGGCGAGCGGCGGAGAUAAGAGCAGAAAACGAGAAGACGCU